GAGCAGCUCCGCUCUGGCAGAGAGCGAGAGCGCGAGAGUGGGAGAGAGAGAGCGCGACGUAAGCGCGUGGCAAACACAUGGUUUUUGUUUUUGUUUUUGCCAAAACACAAGAAGAAGAAGAAGCAGAUGACGAAGCAGGCUUACAGUUAGGCUGAAUUAUGUUAUCACAUUCGAGUGCUGACUGUAAGUAUUGAUAAUUUCCUAUCCGAGAAACUAAGUAGGUACUAGGCAGAGGCAGCAGAGGCUCAGCAGAGCUCAGUGUUUGUUUUUAUCCGGCUGGAGGAAAAAUAAACAAACCCUGAUAUCUAACUGGCUUACCUAAGAGGCGACCCACUGUGUUCUGGGGCUUAUCAUCGCCGAAAGGCAGCCCCCCCCAUCACCCAGCACCCGCCCGCAAAUAACAAAGCCCACAACAAUGUAUCGGCGUUCGAAGAGCGGAGAAUCAUUCUUCAGGCGGUUGGAGAGAGAGGCUAAGAACUGCCGUUAUUGUCUUUACGCUACGUGCGUUCUUGUCUUUGUUGCGAGCCUGUGUUUGUCUUUGUUGCGCUCUAGUUUCUGGCUUUAAGCUAUUAAUGAAACUAAAUUGUAAAGUAAACGUGUUAAUUAGAGAGAGA